CUUGGCCUGUGGGACAAAUAAAUAUCCUUUAGCUGAGCAAGAAACUCACAGAUCUCACAGUGGAUGGCCUUACUUAUGUGGAACAUGCAGUAUAUAUGGAUGUGUCAGGUGGAGGCUGCGUGAAUUGCAAGGCGCGCCAUUCUAUAUCGCUGCAACCUUUAUAAAUAUGACAUGCAAAAUAGAAGGAGCACAGAGAUACUGGCAUGUGUUGUGAAU